GUUCCCAUCGUCUAAUUGGUUAGGACAUCACUCUUUCACAGUGAAAAUCCGGGAUCGUGCCCCGGUGGGAAUGCCA
rnacentral:tRNA from 1 species